UCGAGAAAAAUGGAUUACUGAAACCGUAGUACGGAUUUUGGACCCCACCCAAGAUUCCAUAAGGCUGACUAAGCGUUGUGGGAUGCUUUAUCCAUUAGGUAUUUAAUUUAAUUUUCAAUGAUAAUUUUUCAAUUUCUUAAUUAUUUUAGAUAAACGCGUCUUACGUCAACGUCGUUAAUACCGACGAGAAUCUCUCAUACACUAUUUUCUUCUAUAAAAAAAAACUGAUUUCAGUAUCUGUUUGCAACAGGAGUAGGUGAUAUAUCUGUUUCGAACGAUUUGAGUUUCCUUGAAAUCAAAUUUUUCGUGUAGUUUGAUUCUGUUGUUAUUACUAUAAGAACGUACGAGUAAUGAGUAAGCAAUCGCAUUCAAAAGAUAACAAAAUAAAAUUUAGGAUAACUAAGUUCACAGUAUGUGGGUGUGCCUCGACGACGACAGAUGAAAUGCAAUUAUCGGAUGAAGAAAAGCGAUCGUUGGAUAGAGAAAUGCAAUCGUUGAAUAAAGAAAUGCAAUCGUUGGACAGAGAAAUGCAAUCGUUGGAUAGAGAAAUGCAAUCGUUGGAUAGAGAAAUGCAAUCGCUGUCGAGCGGAAAAGGUCAAACAAUAAAAAAAAUAUUCCGAAAAAGUUGGAGUAGACAAUUCUCCAAAAAAUAACGAAAUUUUGGAGAAAGUUUCAAAAAAAAACAAAAAAAACAGGGCAUUAAAACCAGAAUAUUUGUAAACAUUGGUUACUGUUGUGGUUUUGGUUUCAGUUUUGCAUGAGAACUUUUCGAUCUCAAUUUUGGUUUUGGUUAACGGCAUCGACCUUGUAAAUAAUAUCGUUGUCCAGAAGUGAACAUAAAGCGAACUGAAUAAGCUGCAAGGUCGAUGGUUAACGGUUACAUUUUCUAAUUCUUUUUUUAGUUUUUACCUUAUUUUUUUUUUACCAAUAAUACAGUAUAAAUGUACUCAUUGUUAAAAUAUAAAUAGGAUAAGUGGUUAGGUACUUAAUGGAAAAAAAUAAUCAAAAUUAUGCAAAAAGAACCUGAAAUACAUUAUUAUUCAUUUUAAUUCGCA